rnacentral:rRNA from 1 species
AUGAGAGCAAGAAGGAAGGCAAACAGCCUUGCGGCUAAAAUGGCUGGUGAGGAGGAGGUGCGGGUGAUAGAGUCCAGCUUUGUGAUGCCGGCCAGCGACACACCGAGGAAAGCGCUGCGGCUCUCGCCACUCGAGCUCAUGCUAGCCAACAGAGGUCUCACUCCGGUUGUCCGCUUCUACCGGCCGCGUACCACCGACGACGCCUUCUUUGAUGUGAUCAGGUUGAAGACGGCGUUGGGCAAGGCCCUCGUUGCCUUCUACCCUAUGGCCGACCGCCUCAGGGCUGACGCCGAUGGCAGGUUAGAGAUCGACUGCAACAACAAGGGUGUGCUCUUCGUCGUCGCCCACUCUCGUCUUACAAAUUAUGACUUCAGUGACUCUCGCCAUCACCAAGGCUAA